GCGCGAAAACUUGGCAAUGCGAGAAAUCGUGACCAGGGAACUCCAAGUGGCUGGGGUAAGACCCAGUCUUUUCUUGACUCUUCAAAGGUCUUGGAAUAAGGGGUGGGUAAGGACGGUGCCAGCCGCCGCGGUAAUACCGGCGCCUCAAGUGGUAGUCGAUUUUAUUGGGCCUAAAACGUCCGUAGCCUGUUUGGUACAUUCGUGGGUAAAUCAACCAGCUCAACUGGUUGAAUUCUGCGAGCACGGCCAGACUUGGGACCGGGAGAGGUGUGGGGUACGCUCAGGGUAGGGGUAAAAUCCUGUCAUCCUGAGCGGACCACCUGUUGCGAAGGCGCCACACUAGAACGGAUCCGACGGUCAGGGACGAAGCCUAGGGGCACGAACCGGAUUAGAUACCCGGGUAGUCCUAGGUGUAGACGCUGUGGACUUGGUGUUGGGGACUCUCCGAGAUUCCUCAGUGCCGAAGCGAAGGUGAUAAGUCCACUGCCUGGGGAGUACGGUCGCAAGGCUGAAACUUAA
rnacentral:rRNA from 1 species